rnacentral:lncRNA from 1 species
GGCCUACUCAUCAGAGCCUCUGGAAGUGGAUUGGUAUCCCCUCUGCUCCCAGGAAUCCAGUAAAAGUUUGCAGAGGAUGCAGCAGGUGAGUCCUGUAGACAUCAGAGGGGCUUCGACGCUGCACAGCUGCCACUCAGAGGGGACACUGCUGGCCUCGAUCACAUCAUGGAGACCACAAGGAUGCUGGGAAUGCACUUCCCAUUGGCCGAGCUGAGGAUAUGAGCAGGCCAUGGGCUGGAUGGCUCACGCGUUCAGAGGAGGGACAGCGCUUGUUGCAGAGAAUGAGAUUUAGUGUGAUGUGUAUAAAGGUGUUUCAUGGCUAAAGACCAAACAGAGACUAGUGUCUCCCACUCAGGAAGAAUAAUCACCAUGCUAAUGGAUUAAAAUUCUGUU